GACGAACCGUGCGAACGUUGUUCGGAAUCACUGGGCUUAAAGGGCGCGUAGGCGGGCCUUCAGGUCGGGGGUGAAAUACCACAGCUCAACUGUGGAAGUGCCCCCGAUACCGGAGGCCUCGAGGGGGAUAGGGGCGUGUGGAACUUCCGGUGGAGCGGUGAAAUGCGUAGAUAUCGGAAGGAACGCCGGUGGCGAAAGCGACACGCUGGAUCCCUACUGACGCUGAGGCGCGAAAGCCAGGGGAGCAAACGGGAUUAGAUACCCCGGUAGUCCUGGCCCUAAACGAUGGGUACUAGGUUGUGGACUGACAUGGGUUCACAGCCGAAGCAAAAGUGUUAAGUACCCCGCCUGGGGAGUAUGGUCGCAAGGCUGAA
rnacentral:rRNA from 1 species